rnacentral:rRNA from 1 species
UACGUAGGGCGCAAGCGUUAUCCGGAAUUAUUGGGCGUAAAGAGCUCGUAGGCGGUUUGUUGCGUCGGCUGUGAAAUCCCGAGGCUCAACCUCGGGCCUGCAGUGGGUACGGGCAGACUAGAGUGCGGUAGGGGAGACUGGAAUUCCUGGUGUAGCGGUGGAAUGCGCAGAGUAUCAGGAGGAACACCGAUGGCGAAGGCAGGGUCUCUGGGCCGCAACUGACGCUGAGGAGCGAAAGCGUGGGGAGCGAACGG